GACUCGGUGGCGAACGGUUCGUAUCCCCACAGCCUAAGGGCUUUCAAGAUAAUGUUAUCGUCCGGGGAAGUCGCCUGUUCGACUCAGGCCCGAGUCA